rnacentral:rRNA from 1 species
AACGAACGCUGGCGGCAUGCCUAACACAUGCAAGUCGAACGAAGGCUUCGGCCUUAGUGGCGCACGGGUGCGUAACGCGUGGGAAUCUGCCCUUGGGUUCGGAAUAACAGUGAGAAAUUACUGCUAAUACCGGAUGAUGACUUCGGUCCAAAGAUUUAUCGCCCAAGGAUGAGCCCGCGUAAGAUUAGCUAGUUGGUGAGGUAAAGGCUCACCAAGGCGACGAUCUUUAGCUGGUCUGAGAGGAUGAUCAGCCACACUGGGACUGAGACACGGCCCAGACUCCUACGGGAGGCAGCAGUGGGGAAUAUUGGACAAUGGGCGAAAGCCUGAUCCAGCAAUGCCGCGUGAGUGAUGAAGGCCUUAGGGUUGUAAAGCUCUUUUACCAGGGAUGAUAAUGACA